rnacentral:misc_RNA from 2 species
AUUGUUUCGAACGACAGCUUUUUUCUUUGUGAAAAAGUUGGCGGAUCGGUAUUGAGGGUCUUGCCAUUUACCAUGGCUCCCUCGAAAUGCAUUAGCGCAUCCAUUUGAUAGGCAAGACGGACGAAAGCUCGAUUUUCGCCCUCUCUUCCCUGCCGGGUUUUGAUAAUAUCAGGACUUCGGAGGCGGAGAAAGGGUUAGAGCUGGACGCAACGUUUUGCUGUUUGGAGUGCUUCUGAAACCCGCCCAUGCCUCUUUCUUCGGAAAAGGAAGGGAUUUUUUCAAUU